rnacentral:RNase_P_RNA from 1 species
AGGAUAGGUACUUAGCUCUCGGCUUAGUGCUGAGGAAAGUCCGCCCUCCCUCCCGAAAGGGUUGAAAGGCUGCCUCUUCGGAGGAUCCGGAAACGGAUGACAACCAUUCAGAAACGAGACCACCUUUGCUUAGGAUGACGCUCGCGAGGGUUUCGGUAACGAAACUGAGAUAACCGGCAGACGUUGGCAAGGGAAUGGAUGAAACGAUGAGAUCCGGCUGGAGCAAGUCUUUAUGACGCUUAGUUAAAUGCUAAGAGAGCCAUCGAAGCUUUUGCCUUGUAAUGGGCUCUUACAAAAGGCGGCUUAUUCCUAUCCU